ACUGCCAUUUCCGCUGCCGUGCAGCCUGCAGCCUCACCUCCGUCUUGCUCUCAAGGCGCCAGAGCUCUGGGUGCAGACGCAAAAAGGACCGUCCAUGAAUUUAUUAAUGACCAGAGGGACAGAUUUCUGCUUGAGGGCAGCGCAAGAAACUAUAAACAAGCUCCAAAUGACAGCAGAGCUUAAGAAGGCGAGUAUGGAGAUACAGGCAGUGAAAAGUGAAAUAGCAAAGACAGAAUUCCUUCUUAGAGAGUACAUGAAAUAUGGAUUUUUUCUGCUGAAAUUGUCUCCAAAACAAUGGCAAAUCCAGCAAGCAAUGAAAAGGGUGUCAAAGAGUAAAGAAAAUGUGAAUGCCAUGCUUCCAAGUAUAAUAACAAAAUUAAGUGCAAGGAGAAAAGAGGGCAGCAUGGAAGAGUCCAGGGGGACAUCAUUUUCAGAAGACUCUUCUCUGGGAAGAGGCAGCCAAGGUAAUACUGGAAAUGGGGGACUUCACUCCCCAAAGUAAAGCCAGAGAAGGUGCCCAUCUCGAAGGGAAGACCCAAGACCUAUAAGCCAACCUGGAAAACAGAGGGUCCACGUCACCCUUCUCUUGUGCAGCUAGGGGUUCGAUUCCUCACUUCCUUGACAUAAUUAUACAACUCAGAGAGAUAGGUGAAUGGACCAAAUAGGCAGAGAAGUCAGGGCAGAGGACCUGGUUGUCCCUAGCUGGCAGGAACACUCCUGGCUGGACGUCCUCCUUCCUCUGGUUCAGGCCUGCCUUCGGGGGUGACGGACCCAUUCCCAGGCCCCAAGAACUGGGUCAGUGGCAACCAGGUGACUGCCAUUGUCCAGUGACACCGAGGAAGCUCUGCCAUGCCCAUAAUCAACUCUGAACCCCUUCAACCUGCCCUGCCCUGUAGUCAUUCCGAGUCUGUGACACACCCCCACCCCAUGCAGGCUGACUUCUGGGAACUCCUUUUCUCCUUUAUCCUGCUGUAAACCAUUUGAGGCAUUUCGUGGUGGGGGGGAAGCUCAACAGUGCAAUUUUCCUGCCCAAACAACCCUGGUAUAAGUACACUUGGCCAGCUGAUUGAGAAAGUGAAUUCCUUCGGAUGAUGAGGCCACAUUGGACCCAAAUUAAGACACAUUACUUUGCUUGUUAGAGCAUCUGGAGUAGGGUGUGGGGGAGAGACAGGGAGUAGGUGGUGGGAACAGUGUUCUCUUUAACAUCUUGAAUAUAGAAGUCAGUUAGCUUAAAUAACAUCCCGUAACAAGAGACUUUUUAGGAACAUGUGUUCCAGUAUCAGCUUGAGAGCUAAGAUGUUGAUUGACGGUGGUGGUGGAAUAUAUUGGUUCGUCAUCAUUUUCUUUCCUUCCUUCUCCCACUCACCAAAUAGUAAGUGGAGGCAUCCAAUGGUAUCAGGUAUUUUCAAGACUCUGAGUACACAAAGAUGAACAGGACAUAGUUCUGCAGCCUGGAACCACACAACACAAUCCAAUGGGACCAGUGAUAGAGCAGUGGUGGCGAGGGCCCUGGGGGCAAAAGCCAAAAGUACAAUCUCUGCCUGAGGCAUUUAGCAGAGUCUUUAAGAGAAGGUCACAUUUGAGCUGGGUUUUGAAGAAUAAGUAGGAGCUUGCCAGGUAGGAAGUGGGGAAAGUGAGGCCAGCCGUGGUUUUAAGACAGAAUAGCAGAAAGGGUGACCAGAAGUCACAUGAGGAAGCAUGACCUGCAGGGAUUUGGGGGCCGGUGGAUGCCAAGAUUCAAGACUGCUUUUACCCUCUUCUCACUGUCAGACCAGGGUCAGGCCCAGACAUUGGUGUGGGAGAACAAGUGCAGACAGGUGGCAGGGGAAUGAGUAUGUGGGUGACUUGUCUGGGACUAUGGUAGCUCUCCCCACAAGAUGUAAUGAUUGAAGUUCAUCAUUUUUGUUUUAUACCUUGAUUUUUUUUUUUAAAUCUGUGAUUAGAAAUAUGCGUGAGCUGCUGUGGUGACAACACCAGAUCCUUAACCCACUGCACCACAAGGGAACUCCAGAACCGUGAUUGAUAUUUCACAAUUUAUGACCCUGACGUGUAAGCUUUAACAGUUGUGCCAUGUUUCUGACAACAAGCACCCCCCAAACAAAAGACAGUGCCUUUGAUUUGAUUCUUUUUUCAAUUACUCUGUGAAUUUUAUUAAUUUAUAGGUGUACAGCAAUCAUCACAACCAAAUCUUACAGCAUGUCCAUCCCAAACCCUCAGUGCAUCCCCCCACCUCCCAACCUGUCUCAUUUGGAAACCAUAAGUUUUUCAAAGUCUGUGAGUCAGUAUCUGUUCUGCAAAGUUCAUUGUGUCCUUUGAUCUUAUUCUUAUGUUUAGAACCUAGUUUCAGUAGAAUAGAAGAACUCUGUUUGCUAUAUAAUUAUUAUUCUAAUAAUUAUUUUUAAAAAGUGAAGGGCAUAUGGCUGCAGAAAAAAUGAAUAUUGCAUACCCAACAACAAGGACUCAUUUCUAAUUGCAUGUCAUUUCUCUUCACCUCCACCAUCACCGAUGACACGGGCUUCGCCUGGACACUGUGAACAGGAAAACCACGCAAGAGGACCACUCUCACUCUGGAGAAUAAGAAAUCGUCCUUAUCAAACCGAGCUGAAAGUAUCAGUUCAGAAGACAGUUUGGACUUCCUUUUAGAUGAUGAUAUGGACUACGAUCUGGAGCCAGAACUUUAUUUCAAAGAACCAGAAGAGUUACUCCAAGUCCUCACAGAGCUGGAAGAGCAGAAUCUUACUUUGGUACAAUAUUCCCAAGAUGUAGACGAAAAUCUUGAAGAUGUAAAUAAAAGAGAAAGACUUAUACAAGAUAAAAUAAAUAGCAGCAUAGAGUUUCUUUUGGAGCACAAAGAAAUGCUUAAGGCCAGCUGUCUAAGAGAAGAGGAAAAAGCAGCAGAACUGGAAUUAAGGUCCAGGCUAUUUAGUUUUGGAGAAUUUAAUUCAGAUACUCAGGAAAAACUGAUAGACUCUCUUAGUAAAAAAAUUAAUCAAGUAUACAGAGUCUGCAUUGGAGAUGCUGAGGUUGGCAGCCUCAACCCAAUUCAAAAGCUGGUGAAAGUAGAGUCUCGCCUGGUGGAACUGAGUGAUCUCAUUGAAUCCAUUCCCAAAGAAAAUGUGGAAGCAAUUGAGAGGAUGAAACAGAAAGAACGACGGCAAAAGCUACGUGAAGAGAAAAUGAGAGAAAAACAAAAACACCAGGAGGAAAGGCUAAAAGCCGCCCUGGAAAGGGCAGUAGCCCAACCAAAGAAAAAGCUGGGAAGACGACUUAUCUAUCGCUCAAAACCGCCAUCUGCUAACAAACAUGAACUAUUUUCAGUCAAGGAUACAAAAACAAAAUCAUUGGAAGAAGAAUACUUUUUCACUUGAGGAGGAACAGUAAGACAUUUAUUAUCAGAAGACUUUAGGCAUAUUUUGUAGAUUUUGCUUUUCAAUAACGGGAAUAUUCUGCCCCAUAUGCAGGCCUGACCAAUUUCAGAAAGAGAGACCCCUACUCUAAAAGGCCCUUGGGAUUGGAAAUGGGAGUUACUUUCUUUUGCUGAAGACUUUUAUUAUCCAUAUCCUGACCAUUAUUCUAUAUAGCUAAACAUUUGUACCUACACUUUUUCUUGUCCCAGUUGGGGAUACAUAUGCAGAGUUACUUUACUGAUAUAACUAUACGGUGAAUGACCAUUAUGUGUAAUAAUGGCAUUCUCUGACAUGCGAGUUUAAAUAAUCUAUUUUUUUCCAACCAGUCCAAGAAAAGUUCACAGAGUAGAUUUUAUCACUGUGGAGUAUACAUUUUCACAAUGCACAACUCUGAAACACUGGUUUUGACGAGUUUAACACCUGCAGGAAAACCAGUAGCUGAUGUUCUCUGAACACAACUACAGGACUGAUUUUUAAUUCACAUGAAGGAGUUCUGUCGAGAAAAUCUGGUUCUCUCAUGUGAACUAUAUGCCUUCAGACUAAAUAUCAGUUCACAAUUUCUUUUGUGUUAUAUAGUCAAUCGUUUUAAUUUUCAGGGAAUGUUUCAAUUUUAGCUGUAAUAUGUACAUCACUUAGCUUAAGUGAUAGAGAAUUAACAUGUAAUUUACUGACUACUAAAUAAUAGGUUAUAUUAAUUCUAAGAAAAUAUUUAAAUUUAUAUAUGUCAAAAGUGGCUCAAAAAUAACUUUAGAAGACACAGUUGCUUUUAAAAGGUCUCAGUUAAUAUAUAAUCACAAGAAAAGGGCUGACAUUCACCUCCAUAGACAGUUAUAAUGCAUAAGUUUCCCUAACGCUUUGGGCUUACAUGAAAAUCAGCUUGAAUAAAGCUGGGUGGCUUUUACAGCAGUAGUUCUGUGAACACUCUUUCAUCUGUUGCAACAGUUGAGCUCUGCAUGUAAAUAUCUGAAUAUGAAUAGCUCAGAAUCAAAUUGAAAAACAAACACAUCUUUAUUGUCUACAAAUAUAUAUAAAAAAAAAUCUCCCCCAAAAGAUGCUAUUCUCUCAUUUCCCCAUCUUCUUCUUCUUCUUCAACACCCCU